rnacentral:rRNA from 1 species
AGAGUUUGAUCCUGGCUCAGAACGAACGCUGGCGGCGUGCUUAACACAUGCAAGUCGAACGUGAUCCAGAGCUUGCUCUGGUGAGAGUGGCGCACGGGUGAGUAACGCGUGGAUAACCUGCCCUGGUAUCCGGAAUAACAUCUCGAAAGGGGUGCUAAUACCGGAUAAGCCUACGGAGCCUUCGGUCUCUGCAGGAAAAGGUGGCCUCUAUUUAUAAGCUACCGUAUCAGGAUGGGUCCGCGUACCAUUAGCUAGUUGGUGGGGUAAUGGCCUACCAAGGCGACGAUGGUUAGCUGGUCUGAGAGGAUGAUCAGCCACACUGGAACUGAGACACGGUCCAGACUCCUACGGGAGGCAGCAGUGGGGAAUUUUGCGCAAUGGGGGAAACCCUGACGCAGCAACGCCGCGUGAGUGAUGAAGGCUUUCGGGUCGUAAAGCUCUGUCAGAGGGGAAGAAAUGAGCCUGGCUAAUAUCCAGGUUUCUUGACGGUACCCACAAAGGAAGCACCGGCUAACUCCGUGCCAGCAGCCGCGGUAA